rnacentral:rRNA from 1 species
CCUACUGGUAGCAGCAGUGGGGAAUAUUGCACAAUGGGGGAAACCCUGAUGCAGCGACGCCGCGUGAGUGAAGAAGUAAUUAGUUAUGUAAAGCUCUAUCAGCAGGGAAGAAAAUGACGGUACCUGAGUAAGAAGCACCGGCUAACUAAGUGCCAGCAGCCGCGGUAACACGUAGGGGGCAAGCGUUAUCCGGAUUUACUGGGUGGAAAGGGAGCGUAGACGGCAGUGCAAGUCUGGAGUGAAAGGCGGGGGCACAACCACCGGACUGCUCUGGAAACUGUACGGCUGGAGUGAAGGAGAGGUAAGUGGAAUUCCUAGUGUAGCGGUGAAAUGCGUAGAUAUUAGGAGGAACACCAGUGGCGAAGGCGGUCUGCUGGACAGCAACUGACGCUGAGGCGCGAAAGCGUGGGGAGCAAACAGGAUUAGAUACCCUAGUAGUC